UACGUAGGGAGCAAGCGUUGUCCGGAAUCAUUGGGCGUAAAGCGCGCGUAGGUGGCUUCAUAAGUCCGUUGUGAAAGUCAAAGGCUCAACCUUUGAAAGCCGAUGGAUACUGUGGAGCUAGAGUACGGAAGAGGCGAGUGGAACUCCUGGUGUAGCGGUGGAAUGCGCAGAUAUCAGGAAGAACACCAACGGCGAAGGCAGCUCGCUGGGACGGUACUGACGCUGAGACGCGAAAGCGUGGGGAGCGAACAGG
rnacentral:rRNA from 1 species